CCUACGGGGGGCUGCAGUGGGGAAUAUUGGACAAUGGGGGAAACCCUGAUCCAGCAAUGCCGCGUGUGUGAAGAAGGCCUGCGGGUUGUAAAGCACUUUCGGUUGGGAAGAAAAGUUUGGCGCCAAUACCGCCGAACCUUGACGUUACUGACAGAAGAAGCACCGGCUAACUCUGUGCCAGCAGCCGCGGUAAUACAGAGCGUGCAAGCUGGGCGUGGAGUGACUGGAGGUGGAGCGGCAAGUGGGGUGUGAAAUCCCCGGGCUUAACCUGGGAACUGCAUUCGAUACUACAUGGCUAGAGUAUGGUAGAGGGAAGUGGAAUUUCCGGUGUAGCGGUGAAAUGCGUAGAUAUCGGAAGGAACACCAAUGGCGAAGGCAGCUUCCUGGACUAAUACUGACACUGAGGCACGAAAGCGUGGGUAGCAAACAGGAUUAGAUACCCCAGUAGUC
rnacentral:rRNA from 1 species